rnacentral:rRNA from 1 species
ACGAACGCUGGCGGCGUGCUUAACACAUGCAAGUCGAACGGAAAGGCCCUGCUUGCCGGGUACUCGAGUGGCGAACGGGUGAGUAACACGUGGGUGAUCUGCCCUGCCCUUCGGGAUAAGCUUGGGAAACUGGGUCUAAUACCGGAUAGGAACCAUCUUUAGUGUGGUGGUUGGAAAGUUUUUUCGGUGUAGGAUGAGCUCGCGGCCUAUCAGCUUGUUGGUGGGGUAAUGGCCUACCAAGGCGGCGACGGGUAGCCGGCCUGAGAGGGUGUACGGCCACAUUGGGACUGAGAUACGGCCCAGACUCCUACGGGAGGCAGCAGUGGGGAAUAUUGCACAAUGGGCGCAAGCCUGAUGCAGCGACGCCGCGUGGGGGAUGAAGGCCUUCGGGUUGUAAACUCCUUUCGCUAGGGACGAAGCUUUUUGUGACGGUACCUAGAUAAGAAGCACCGGCUAACUACGUG